rnacentral:lncRNA from 1 species
AGGGAAGGUCUUAAGGAAAACUUGAUCGCUAUUGUGAUGUUAACUCACCUAGUAAGUGCACUAGUUUGAACACAUACUACAAUAGUAAAUUCGUAUAUCGUCUCACGAGGACUAAUAUAACAAUUACUAGAAUCAGAAUUAAUUGAUAUUAUUUGGUCAAUGACUAAGAGAAUGAGUAUAAACUAAAACUUAACAACAAAAGAAACAAUGAAUUAGGAUUUAUUAACAAUCAAGAUAUAAUGACGGUUAAGAUCUUAGAAUCCACCCUAAGUUCAACUAUGAAUUUCCUUAAUUCAAUCUACAACAAGAACUUUCCCGCAAUUUUAUGCAGUCAUGUAGUAAUCUCUUUCUCAAGAUUAAUUACCCUACCUACUUCAUAAUAACACACAUCUACCUGUGGGUUAGUAAGAAUCGGU